rnacentral:tRNA from 1 species
GGCCCCUAGCCCAACGGUUAGAGCAGCGGACUCAUAAUCCGUUGGUUGUAGGUUCGAACUUGACAGGGGCCA